UGACAGGAAAAUGGCCAGUGAAAACC
rnacentral:piRNA from 1 species